CUCAAAAUUUCUAAUAUUUUCGACUGCUACAACAAACUUUCACCAUACAAAAUAAUCAAGAAAAACACUCAAAAAGAUUGAAUGUGUGAGGUUAGUCUCAUUAACGGAAUUGUGAACAAUUUUGUUAAAAAAUAGUGACUUGGUUUUCAAAUGUAUUUUUUUAAAGAAUAAUGUUUUUUAGCUUUUUAUUAUAUAUCAACAUGAGACCUCAGGUAACAAGGUAAAAGAGACAGAAAAAUAAAAAAAUUUAAUUUUUUCAAGUUUAUAGUUUAUAGUAAAGAAGUUUUUUUUUUUUUUGAAAAAUAUAUUUUAAAACAGUGUCACUAUUUUAAACGGCAAAUGGACAUUUCUAUUAAUGAGAUUAAUGUCGAGCAUUUGGAUUUCUAUUUGAGUACUUUUUGUUUCUAAGUUAUUUUGUAUGUUGAAGGUGUAUUGUAGGAAUCGGAAACAUCAACUCUCAAGAUUUUUAUGAG
rnacentral:pre_miRNA from 1 species